rnacentral:lncRNA from 1 species
CUACAGCCCUGCUGGGGAGCUCAGGCGUGACACCUGCAACACAGCCUACUGGAAGCUCACAAACCACAGCCCUGGAUGAGGAAUCGACAACCAGGGCACACAGGUCACCUGCAGGAAGCACAGAUGUGUCACCUGGUAGCUCCCAAACCACCACCUUGACAGAAUCCUCCAAGGCCUUUCCAAGCAGCCCUGGAUCAGCAAGGGUUACAGUGCCAACAGACAGCUCCCAGACCACACACAAGAUGGAGGGAUCCACAACCUGGCCAGGGAGUCAAGGCUCAGCACCCACACAUCUACAACCAGACACUGUGCCCACCACUGCCCUGCCUGGAGCUUCCACAGUAGUUUCUACCAGCCCAGAGUCACCACGCGGCACAGUGACAACACAAACAACUCAUUCCACAGUGCUGUCUGAAGGCUCUACAGCCUCUCCCAGCACUCCCAGUGCUGUCCCCACAGGAGCGUCACCUGGCAGUUCCCACACCACAGUUCUGCCUCAGGGAACUGCUACAUUCCCACCCAGCACUUCUGCAGCUCACAGCACUGCUGCACCUGAGAGCUCCCAAAGCACAGUCCUGCAGUCAGCAUCCACAGCUUUCCCAGGCAGCCUGGCUUCUGCACACACUACAGCGACUGCUGCCACCUCCGCGACCACAGUUCUGACUGCAGCACCUGCAAGCUCUGCAGGCAGCCCAAGCUCAGCUCACACUGCAGUUCCAGGGCAACAUUCUCACAGCACAGUCUCGACUGAAUCACCCGUGACCUUACAUGCCAGUCCUGAGGCCACACCAUCAAUAAUGCCAUCAAAGACAUCUGCAAUGCUUUCUCAAGGAUCUACAGUGUCCCAAGAGAAUCCUGCCUCAGCUCACACUAUACCCCCUGCACACAGCUCCUCAACCUCAGCCCUACCUGAAGAGUCUCCAACCUUCCCUAGCAACACAAGUCCAGAACACACAAGCAUGGCAUCUAAUACAGCGACUGCUGCCACCUCCCCAACCACAGUUCUGACUGCGGCACCUGCAAGCUCUGCAGGCAGCCCGAGCUCAGCUCGCACUGCAUUUCCAGUGCAACAUGCUCACAGCACAGUCUCGGCUGAAUCACGGACAAGCUCACAACCCAGCUCGGAGACCUCACACUCAACAGAGACAUUACACACUUUGGCAACAACAGUUCUUUAUCAAGGGUCCACAGAGUCCCAGUGCAUUGCUACCAUGGGGGAUCUUGGAACAGAAUCAAGUGUGAGUGCAAACCGGGCACCACUGGUCAGCAGUGUGAGUUCCUCGUGCACUCCUUCCCCAUAGGUAAUGACCACCUCUGAGCCCUGUAGCUCUCCUCAUACCUUUUGGCAUUUGAAAUAGGAUGGUAGUGUUGGAAGGGCUGACCACUCCCACCACCUCACUGUGUGGAGAGAGG